rnacentral:rRNA from 1 species
UUUAUGGAGAGUUUGAUCCUGGCUCAGGAUGAACGCUGGCGGCGUGCCUAAUACAUGCAAGUCGAGCGAACGGACGAGAAGCUUGCUUCUCUGAUGUUAGCGGCGGACGGGUGAGUAACACGUGGAUAACCUACCUAUAAGACUGGGAUAACUUCGGGAAACCGGAGC